GCAGCCGCCACGGUAAUACAGAGGGUGCAAGCGUUAAUCGGAAUUACUGGGCGUAAAGCGCGCGUAGGUGGUUUGUUAAGUUGGAUGUGAAAUCCCCGGGCUCAACCUGGGAACUGCAUCCAAAACUGGCAAGCUAGAGUAUGGUAGAGGGUGGUGGAAUUUCCUGUGUAGCGGUGAAAUGCGUAGAUAUAGGAAGGAACACCAGUGGCGAAGGCGACCACCUGGACUGAUACUGACACUGAGGUGCGAAAGCGUGGGGAGCAAACAGGAUUAGAUACCCCUGUAGUCCCUGUCUCUUAUAC
rnacentral:rRNA from 1 species